GAGUUUGAUCCUGGCUCAGGACGAACGCUGGCGGCGUGCCUAACACAUGCAAGUCGAACGAACCACAGUCCUUCGGGUCUGUGGUGAGUGGCGAACGGGUGAGUAACACGUGAGCAACCUACCCUUGACACUGGAAUAACAGUUGGAAACAGCUGCUAAUACCGGAUACGACCUUCGAUGGCAUCAUCUGGAGGUGGAAAGCUCCGACGGUCAAGGAUGGGCUCGCGGCCUAUCAGCUUGUUGGUGAGGUAACGGCUCACCAAGGCUUCGACGGGUAGCCGGCCUGAGAGGGCGACCGGCCACACUGGGACUGAGAUACGGCCCAGACUCCUACGGGAGGCAGCAGUGGGGAAUAUUGCACAAUGGGCGAAAGCCUGAUGGAGCAACGCCGCGUGAGUGAAGAAGGCCUUCGGGUCGUAAAACUCUGUCUUCAGGGAAGAAAAAAAUGACGGUACCUGAGGAGGAAGCCCCGGCUAACUACGUGCCAGCAGCCGCGGUAAAACGUAGGGGGCGAGCGUUGUCCGGAAUUACUGGGCGUAAAGGGCGCGUAGGCGGUUAUUUAAGUCAGAGGUGAAAACUACCGGCUCAACCGGUAGCCUGCCUUUGAAACUGGAUGACUUGAGGGCAGGAGAGGGGAGUGGAAUUCCCAGUGUAGCGGUGAAAUGCGUAGAUAUUGGGAGGAACACCAGUGGCGAAGGCGGCUCUCUGGCCUGUUUCUGACGCUGAGGCGCGAAAGCGUGGGGAGCAAACAGGCUUAGAUACCCUGGUAGUCCACGCCGUAAACGGUGGGCACUAGGUGUGGGGAACAUUCCACGUUCUCCGUGCCGAAGCUAACGCAUUAAGUGCCCCGCCUGGGGAGUACGGCCGCAAGGCUAAAACUCAAAGGAAUUGACGGGGGCCCGCACAAGCGGCGGAGCAUGCGGAUUAAUUCGAUGCAACGCGAAGAACCUUACCUGGGUUUGACAUAUACCGGAAAGCUGCAGAGAUGUAGCCCCCGCAAGGUCGGUAUACAGGUGGUGCAUGGCUGUCGUCAGCUCGUGUCGUGAGAUGUUGGGUUAAGUCCCGCAACGAGCGCAACCCUCGUCCUAUGUUGCCAGCGGAUAAUGCCGGGGACUCAUAGGAGACUGCCGGGGUCAACUCGGAGGAAGGUGGGGAUGACGUCAAGUCAUCAUGCCCCUUAAGUCCAGGGCUUCACGCAUGCUACAAUGGCUGGUACAAAGGGCUGCAAUACCGCAAGGUCGAGCGAAUCCCAAAAAGCCAGUCUCAGUUCGGAUUGGGGUCUGCAACUCGACCCCAUGAAGUCGGAGUCGCUAGUAAUCGCAGAUCAGCAAUGCUGCGGUGAAUACGUUCCCGGGCCUUGUACACACCGCCCGUCAAGUCAUGAAAGUCGGUAACACCCGAAGCCGGUGGCCCAACCCUUUUGGGAGGGAGCCGUCGAAGGUGGGACUGGCGAUUAGGACUAAGUCGUAACAAGGUAGCCGUACCGGAAGGUGCGGCUGGAUCACCUCCUUUCU
rnacentral:rRNA from 1 species